rnacentral:rRNA from 1 species
UACGAAGGGGGCUAGCGUUGCUCGGAAUCACUGGGCGUAAAGCGCACGUAGGCGGAUCUUUAAGUCAGGGGUGAAAUCCCAAGGCUCAACCUUGGAACUGCCUUUGAUACUGGGGAUCUCGAGUCCGGAAGAGGUUGGUGGAACGUGCGAGUGUAGAGGUGAAAUUCGUAGAUAUUCGCAAGAACACCAGUGGCGAAGGCG